rnacentral:ncRNA from 1 species
UCCCGAUAAAGGCAAACCGCCCGAAAGGGCGAGGCGCAAAGCUUCGGGCCUAAAGCCGAAAGGCUACGGCUGCCGAGCCGCCGAA